CACGUAGGGUGCGAGCGUUGUCCGGAUUUAUUGGGCGUAAAGGGCCCGUAGGCGGUUUGGUAAGUCGGGUGUCAAAACUCCAGGCUCAACCUGGAGCGGCCAUCCGAUACUGCCAUGACUUGAGUCUGGUAGGGGAGUGCGGAAUUCCUGGUGUAGCGGUGAAAUGCGCAGAUAUCAGGAGGAACACCGGUGGCGAAGGCGGCACUCUGGGCCAGUACUGACGCUGAUGGGCGAAAGCGUGGGGAGCAAACAGG
rnacentral:rRNA from 1 species